rnacentral:rRNA from 1 species
UACGGAGGGGGCUAGCGUUGUUCGGAAUUACUGGGCGUAAAGGGUGCGUAGGCGGCGUGCCAAGUCGGGCGUGAAAGCCCUGGGCUCAACCCGGGAAUUGCGUUCGAGACUGGCAUGCUGGAGUCCGGGAGAGGAUGGCGGAAUUCCCAGUGUAGAGGUGAAAUUCGUAGAUAUUGGGAAGAACACCGGUGGCGAAGGCGGCCAUCUGGACCGGCACUGACGCUGAGGCACGAAAGCGUGGGGAGCAAACAGG